rnacentral:lncRNA from 1 species
GUUUGCUCCUGGAGAUAGCAGUGAGAUGUGGCAGAAACAACAUUUGGGCUUGUGAAAAUGAGGAUGUCAUUUUUCUUCAUCUAAGUUCAUAGAUCACAGACUUCCUGGGGACCCCAAGUUAAGAAACUCUUCUGGAGAGAGCAGUUGUAUCCAGUGCUCAAGGGCAUAGUAACUUGGAUGUCUAGACUGCCCCUUCCCUACCUGCAGCCGCACAGAUGGUACCUCUCUCUGGAAGCAUAUUCCCUAAAGAACCAAGCCUUCUCAGGACAUCAUAUUCUGCCAGAAUGCACCUAUUUCUCAAAGUCCAUUUGUAAACAAAAACCAAUUUGUCAAAAUAAUUCAUAAUGUAGUAACUAAUGACAGAGCA